CCCACAUCUUCAACCGAUCAGUUCAGGUCGGGAUUGAGAACAGUGCAUUACGGAUAUGGCAAAUAAGGGUCUUUUGCUGCUGCUAUUGGUUUCCGCUCUGGUUGUACAUGUAGCAAGCAAAGCUAAUGCUAAGCACAAAGGUCAGGGUUUUGUUUGUCUUCCGAGGGGCCACCCAUGUAAACCUGCGUCGUGGUAUACUCCGAAGAGAAAGAAAUGCUGCGGCGGACCAAGCAACUGUGAUUGCCUCGAUUUCAACCGUAGUUGCAUUUGUCGGUAGCGGCGUACAACUGCACCUGUAGCUGGACACCAACGACUGGAAAUGAACCAAGGACAAGAAUACGGCCGUCAGCUUGAGCAAGAGUUUUCAUAGCCAUAAGGAACUUGAUUUUUCAUACUGGGAACUUUGGUCUGGGAGAAAAUCAAUGUCAAUUAGGUAUUAAAUAGCUGUGCAUUAAAAGAAAUUGCAAUUAAAAGG